AAAGGAAUAGACGGGGACUUGCACAAGCAGUGGAUUAUGUGGUUUAAUUCGAUGGUAAACGAAGAACCUCACCAGGGUUUGACACCUACAUGAAAGCUCCGAGAAACCGGAGCCCUCGCAAGACUAGUAGGCAGGUGCUGCAUGGUCGUCGUCAGUUCGUGGUUUGAAUUGUUCCCUUCAGUGGGGUAACGAACGCAACCCUCGUCGUGUGUUAUAAGUGUCACACGAGACUGCUCCUUUUUCGGAGAGGAAGGUGAGGAUGACGCCAGAUCAGCAUGGCCCUUUGAUAUCCUGGGCUACACACAUAAUACAAUCGCUAUUACAACGCGACGCAAUGGGGCGACCCGGAGCAAAUCGUUAGAAAAAUAGCGCCAGUUCGGAUUGGAGUCUGCAACUCGACUCCAUGAAGCCGGAAUUGCUAGUAAUCGCGGGUCAGACAUACCGCGGUGAAUACGUUCUCAAGUCUUGUACACACCGCCCGU
rnacentral:rRNA from 1 species